GGGUCUUGGGAUACUUGGAGUUAAACGUCCUUGGGUUUGAAUAGUACUGGGUUGGGUGACCUCCCGAGAAGUUUAAAUUCAGGAGCUU
rfam:Selaginella moellendorffii unplaced genomic scaffold SELMOscaffold_53, whole genome shotgun sequence.